rnacentral:misc_RNA from 1 species
UGUUCCUAGAUCCCGUUACGAGUCUGAAAUUGGUAAGCAGCAUGCUGCUCUAAAAGCUCUGGAAGAACUUUCUGAUAAUUCAAGUUCUGCAAUCACAAAAAGGAAAAAAGAUAAAGAAAGAAUUCAAGAGUCUCUAGAUCGAUUAACGGCGGAGCUUCAGAGGCAUGAAGAGCAUGUAACAUCUGUUCGAAGACGCCUGACUCGUGAAAAGGAUACAUGGCUGAGUUCCUGUCCUGAUACUUUAAAGAUCAACAUGGAAUUCCUUCAGCGAUGUAUAUUUCCACGCUGUACAUUCAGUAUGCCGGACGCUGUGUAUUGUGCCGUGUUUGUUAAUACUCUUCAUUCCCUUGGAACACCUUUCUUUAACACUGUGAACCACAUAGACGUUUUGAUAUGUAAGACACUACAACCCAUGAUCUGUUGUUGCACCGAAUAUGAAGUAGGUCGUCUAGGAAGAUUUUUGUAUGAGACAUUGAAGACAGCUUAUUAUUGGAAGGGUGAUGAAUCAAUUUAUGAACGUGAGUGUGGAAACAUGCCUGGAUUUGCCGUCUAUUACAGAUAUCCCAACAGCCAGCGUGUUACGUAUGGACAGUUUAUUAAGGUACACUGGAAGUGGAGUCAAAG